rnacentral:lncRNA from 1 species
GCUUCCUCUGUGAUGGGAGAAGCCAGCAGGACACGUGGAAAUUGAACUGGUUGGUUCUGGUCACAUGAUCAAUUGCAGGUAUGAUCAGAGUGCCUCCAUGCCACCUUCAAGGUUGGUGCUGGUCCCAGUUUCUACACUGCAGCAGAGGAGAAGACCAAGGCUCCCAGGAAUGAAGGAAUUGUCCCACUCCGGGAUACAUGCCAGGUCCUGACAUCACUGUUUAUGCUCAGCAACAAGCAGCCCAUAAGCUCAUGCAUACAAGAGGUGGCCAAGUGUAUGCAGCAACAGGAGGAGGAAGCAAGAGCACAGGGACCACUGUCUACAUGAGGCAGGGGGUCGCUACCUGCCUCAGACACCUGGCAGAGGUUCUCAGUUGGGACCAGUGGACACCAUGACAACUUAGAGUGACUCCAGGACUGGUUGAAGGGACAUCAUCUGGGACAUUGACUCAGAAGGGGGUCUUCCCUAUGAAUCUGGCUUGCCCUUUCUUCUCCACAGGGGAGCGUUCUGAGGUCCUGAGGGGUGGGGUAACUUAAUGUCAGGAUCUCGGUCCAAUCCCUUAGAUUACUGUGCGUUCAGACCCAUUGUCCAUUUUAACACUCAAAAUCCUUUAACUGCAUGUAGUAUAACUAAAUACAGACUCAUGUCUGUGUUUUCAUGAUCAAAAGUAUAAACAACAUUUUUUUUUGAGACAGUGUCUUGCUACAUUGUGAGGCUGGCCUUGAACCUGUCAUCCUUCUGCCUCAGGCUUCUGAAGGUAUAGACAUGAACCACCUCACACAACAUUUAUUAUUGUUAUUAAUAUUAUUAUUUAAAUAAAGGUUGAAAUGUUCUCAGAAGCUGAAGAGAAAAGAAUACCUCCCUAGCACCUGUGUCACUUCUCCAGAAGGACUUCAUGACCUUCUGAAUACAAAGUUCCAGCACAUUAUUCUGACCCUGAUACACCCAGGGGUGUAAUAAACGCUGGCUUUGAGCUGGUGAUUCUCCUGCCUCAGCCUUGUGGAUAUUACAGGUUUACGCUCCUACACUUGGCUGAAGCAAUUUUAAUGUCUGAUCC